rnacentral:lncRNA from 1 species
GAAAAUGGAAAGAGGAGAGGAAAUGAAUCCAGGGGAUGUUGACAAAGGUGUUCGAUGCCCAAGGAAAGAAGGAGGUCUUACCCAGAGGUCAGAAGCUGCUACAGUCCCUGGGCUGGAGCUGCUGAGAAUUUGGAGAUGCUGCCUCAGGAUCACUUCGGGAGCUUUGAAUACUGUUCAGCUCCUUGUAUGCCGUCACUGGUGUUGCCAUUGAUGGUGCUUGGAGGAGAAAAGAGUCCUCACUUCCCACCUAUUGAUCUUCCCUUGAAGAGAGGGAAUGUGGGAAAUGACACAAAGGAAAGGUUGUUGGAUUUUAACGUUGUAGCCAGGGUUUGGCAAGGUAAUACAUUUAAUACAGGACACAUAGUUUAUAGGAUUAUUUUAUAUUUACCCAAAAAGUCAAAUUCAGAGGAGUCCAAGAGAUUAGCCACACACAAGAGGCCUAAAGAAUCCAGCCAAGGGCCUGGAUCCCACAGAAAUGUCCCACACAAAUCUAGCUAAAGGCUUAGAGCUCAAGGGAAUGCCCUCCAUGAUUCCAGCCAGUGGCCUAGAACCCAUGCCAAUGUCUCAUGCUUGUCCAUAAUGAGGAUCUGCACCCAGAAGGCCCAAAGGCCAGUGGUGGAAGUCAGAAAACAUGUGCUGAUGGGAUGAAGGAUUUGUGCCACCAGGCUGAAGGAUCUAUAUUGGACCCAGGAAAUGAUGCUUAUGGUGAAGAUCAGAGUUCCCCUGAUGAGAACAGCUGCCAUUCCCAGAGACACCGAGACACCGAGCUUCUCCUCUAAAGAGAACAGCCAAGUUCUCAUCAGGAAAACCAUCUGCAAACAAGCUUCUCCUAGAAAAUCAACAGCCUAUGAUCUUCCCCUCCAGUUCUCUUUUUGUGGCUAUUGGCAACAAUCCUCAGGUGGAUCUUCCAUGCCCAGACCAGGCUAAUUCAGUUCAGCUGGGCAUUACAAGCUGACCAUUAUUUAACCCACCACAAACAUCUUUGUUAAAAAUUAUAUAUAUAUGUAUAUAUAGUAUAUAUGUAUAUAUAU